AGGAAACCAUUUUGAAGUGGGACAAAAAGUUCCAGCGAACACCUGUUACUCCUGCUCCUGCGGAAACUCAGGGAUUGAAUGCAACUAUGAUGUUAACUCAUGUAUUUGCACUGUUCAUGGGAAAAAAUUCAAAUAUGGAGAAACCAUCUACAACGUAUCUGAUGGAUUUGGAAACUGCCUGACAGCGAAAUGUGGGUUGAAUGGUAGUAUAUCAAGAGCUAUGCAUACAUGCCCAACACUUGGC
rnacentral:lncRNA from 1 species